UCGUAAAAAUGGCUGUGCCAUGGUACAUAUUCAUAUCACAGCCAUUUUUGACGAGU
rnacentral:pre_miRNA from 1 species